UUUUUUGUAUAUAUUGUCUUGUUGUUAUAUAAUAAUAUAUGGUUGUGUCCUUUGGAGAAUUUUUUCUUAAUAAUAAUCUGAUUAUGGUAUAUGACUUGUUUGUCGUUGAUCUGUGUUGGUUUUUGAGCGAUAACUUAAAAAAGGCACAAAAAAUCCCAAAUGACAUUUUUUCCAGAAAAAAAAAACAAGAAAGUCAGAAAAUCUAGAAAAGUGAAAAAAAAAUAAAAAAAU
rnacentral:lncRNA from 1 species